CACGCGAUGCAUUGAGUGCUGUGUCGGCGGCCUGGUGGUCCCGACGAAGAAAGCAGGCGAAGACGACCGGCGGUGACGAACGCGGCCGGCGGGGACGCCGUCCAGCCCCGAACACGCGGGUUGGCGCGAAGCGCCGAAGAAAAGAAACAACGUCCGCACUCAACGAGUACUGAUCACACACUGACUUUAUUUACACGUCGCCUUACGAAAUAUGAAUGCCAGAGCGGCGCCCCCUGGCAUUCUCACAGUGCAUUCCGAAACCGAAAGCACGAGAACAUCAACACAACAAUCAUCCCCUCCUCGAAAGGAAAAGUUGACCUAGACACUGUUUA
rnacentral:lncRNA from 1 species